CCACCACACAUGCACAUCUUGAUUGAAUUAUAUGCUGAGUUCCUUUGGAUCCAUGGCUCGAUUAGUGUAUGCGCUGCUUUUCACUCCUAUGAGCUCCACUUAAAUAUUCCAUUAGCUAUAGGUAAGUGACAUUUUGGUAAGGAUCCACAAAUACCACAUAUAGAGAGACUUGAGAGAAUCAUUGCUAGGUACUUUGAGUUUUAUUUUGAAAACUUAUGAAAAACUCUGGAACAAAGGUGAAGUAUAGAC
rnacentral:lncRNA from 1 species